GGGGGUAUAGCUCAGCUGGGAGAGCAGCAGACUGAAGUCACUACGACAUUCUGAAGGUCCCGCGUUCGAUCCGCGGUACCCCCA